GAAUGGUCUAAGAUUCCUUUGCACUAUGGCUCCCCCUUCUGGUUCUGCAAUGAGUAGUUACAUUGUUCCUCAGAGUGCUGAAUUUUGAGAGCAAAGCAUUACAGAAAUGUAAAAAAAUCUUGAAGGCCAGAAAACAAGCUCAUAUUACCAAGUGUGAAAUUACAGCAAGUCUUACAGGCUGGGAACUGGAAAAGAGCUUCCCCAUCAUGGUGGAUUAUACAACCAGUGGUGGAGAGUAACUCCAAAAUAUAGCAUCUUUCUACUCAUCUUACUAAAGCUCAAAGAAGGUGAUCUACAAGGUACAUGCAAAGAUAAUGAAAACAAGGCUCAAAAUAAAAACAAGAAAUCUUUAUGAAAUUACACAAAGUGUAUGUGUUUGAACUUGGAUUUGCUUCCAACUCUGCUUGACUCUGAAAACCAUGCCCUUUCCUCUACAUGAUAUGUUCAUAUGCUCUACCCCACUUAUGGGUGGAAACUCCUCCGUCAAGCUUAUUUAAUCAAUGAAUGAAUGACUCUUCUAAAGGCAGAUACCAGCAGGUUUGGUGGUAGAGCCAGUCCUGCAAAUGUGCUCAAUGUCUUAAGCCACCUGACAGCCAGACUCCAUAUGAAAAGAUUUAACUUCUUAUUAAAAUACCUAUAAUAGUCCAGGUGCAGUGGCUCACACCUGUAAUCCCAGC
rnacentral:lncRNA from 1 species